AUUGAACGCUGGCGGCAGGCUUAACACAUGCAAGUCGAACGAGUGGCGGACGGGUGAGUAAUGCUUGGGAAUCUGGCUUAUGGAGGGGGAUAACUACUGGAAACGGUAGCUAAUACCGCAUACCAUCGGAUGUGCCAAGAUGGGAUUAGCUAGUAGGUGGGGUAACGGCUCACCAAGGCGACGAUCCAUAGCUGGUCUGAGAGGAUGAUCAGCCAAACUGGGACUGGGAAACGGCCCAGCCUCCUACGGGAGGAAGAAGUGGGGAAUAUUGCCAAAUGGGCGAAAGCCUUAUGCAGCCAUGCCGCGUGGAUGAAGAAGGCCUUAGGGUUGUAAAGUACUUUCAGUCGGGAGGCGUUACCUACAGAAGAAGCACCGGCUAACUCCGUGCCAGCAGCCGCGGUAAUUC
rnacentral:rRNA from 1 species